UAAAGUCAGCAUUUUUUAAAACCGGCGAGGAUGUUAGCACUGUUUUUAAGUUGUCCAUUGCGGUCUGUGCUUCAGGGGUCCACUCAAACUUUUUCUUUGUCGAUAAUACGUCCGUUAUGGGGCAAGUGAGAUCGGAAAAGUUGCAUAUAAACCGACGAUACCAACCGCAAACUCCUAGAAAUCCUCGAACUUGCUUCAAGUUUUUUGGCGGCGGCCAAUUUACAAUACAAGCUACUUUUUCCGGAUCUGUGCAAAUACCUCCGCUACCAAUCACGUAACCAAGAUAAUUGAUACUUGUUACACAGAAUUGACUUUUCGAAAUAUUUAAAGUCAAGUUGGCUUUUCUAAACUGCUCAGCGAUGCGAACCAAUACCGCCAGAUGUGAACUGAAAUCUUCGGACACAAUACACAGAUCAUCUAAAUAUCCAAACACGCAAUAGCGCAGGUCAGAAGGAAUUAUCUCGUCCAUUAACCGACACAUGGUAGAAGGCGCGUUACAAAGGCCAAAGGGCAUGACCUUAAACUGAUAUAGCGGUCUUCCGGGGACCGUAAAAGCAGUGAGAGGCUUUGAAUCCUCGGAAAGUUCUAUUUGCCAAUAGGCGUCUUUCAAAUCUAGUUUGGAAAUUAUAUUCGCCUUAGGUAGCCGCGAAAAAAUGCCAUCGAUGCUCGGCAAAGGAUAAGCAUCUUUUUUUGUGGCGUCAUUCAGUCUUCGAGCAUCCAGACAAAGGCGAACCUUGUUGGGCUUAAGGACGAGUCGCAUAGGCGAGCUCCAGGCGCUUACCGACGGCUCAAUAACUCCAAGCUGCAACAUGCGAUCAAUUUCUGCAUAUAACAACUUUUCUACGGCCGGACUUACAGGAUAGAAUCUUUGUUUCACUGGACGUGCGUCUCCUAUAUCUAUACGGUGUUGGAUCAAUGUUGUGCGGCCUAAUCUAUCAACAGCGUUGGGGAACAACUGCUUUACUACGUGCAGCUGUUGCGUUUGCUGGCUAUCUAAAGGAAUUUAUAAUGCUUGGUGCGAGCUCAAAGGCUCUCCAAAAAUCAUGACCCAAAAUUAGAUUUUGGUUUAUAGAAGGAAUCACAUACAGUUUCAAGGACUUGGUAGCCGAUUUAUACUGCAUUUUAACUUCAAGCACUCCGAUGACUUUCUGACUAUGGCCAUCUGCUGUUCUGACAUGCGAUUUAAUAGGCUUAAAUUCCGGCAUUACGACCAAGCUCGGUAAAGGUUAAAAACGACACUUCGGCAUAGCUGCGCAUAUCGGUGGGAUUGCAAAAAACGGUCGAAACUAAAAGCUUGCUAUGUUGCUUGAUUUUUGAAUAAUAAUUUUUCAAGCGCUGCGUACGCUGAGAAAUACGGGGUUUUUC